GUUGACCUCGGAUCAGGUAGGAAUACCCGCUGAACUUAAGCAUAUCAAUAAGCGGAGGAAAAGAAACCAACAGGGAUUGCCCCAGUAACGGCGAGUGAAGCGGCAACAGCUCAGAUUUGAAAUCCGGCCUCGGCCCGAGUUGUAAUCUGUAGGGGAUGUCCCUGGCGCGGCGCCUACCGAGUUCCCUGGAACGGGACGCCAUAGAGGGUGAGAGCCCCGUAUGGUUGGACGCCUAGCCUCUGUGGGACUCCUCCGACGAGUCGAGUAGUUUGGGAAUGCUGCUCAAAUUGGGAGGUAAAUCUCUUCUAAAGCUAAAUAUAGGCCAGAGACCGAUAGCGCACAAGUAGAGUGAUCGAAAGAUGAAAAGCACCUUGGAAAGGGGGUUAAAAAGCACGUGAAAUUGUUGAAAGGGAAGCGCCCAUGACCAGACUCGCGCCUGGCGGAUCAUCCAGCGUUCUCGCUGGUGCACUCCGCCUGGUACGGGCCAGCAUCGGUUUCUGCGGGGGGAUAAGAGCAGCGGGGACGUGGCCCCUCCGGGGGUGUUAUAACCCGCUGCACGAUGCCCUCUCGGGGACCGAGGUUCGCGCUCUGCAAGGAUGCUGGCAUAAUGGUCAUCGGCGACCCGUCUUGAAACACGGACCAAGGAGUCGUCCAUUACGGCGAGCGUUUGGGUGUCAAACCCCUACGCGUAAUGAAAGUGAACGCAGGUGAGAGCUUCGGCGCAUCAUCGACCGAUCCUGAUGUAUUCGGAUGGAUUUGAGUAAGAGUCGUACCGGACGGACCCGAAAGAUGGUGAACUAUGCCUGAAUAGGGUGAAGCCAGAGGAAACUCUGGUGGAGGCUCGCAGCGGUUCUGACGUGCAAAUCGAUCGUCAAAUUUGGGCAUGGGGGCGAAAGACUAAUCGAACCAU
rnacentral:rRNA from 1 species